GACAGGGAGCAAACAAAGGCAGGCAGACAAACGGGUUAGGACGUUCAUACAAACUGUGAAGGACGACCCACCCCCAAACUGCAGCGGCCAGGAACUGAAGAAUUCUCUAGAAAGGCUCCUUGCAGAAACUCAAGGAUGGGCAGGAGCAACCCAGGACUGAAGGACGCCCGACCGAAGCAGUCACCCGCAGUUUGCAGACAAGUUCAAAAUGAGCAGGACUCCAGGACAACAACGGCCUAGAAAAGCCAUGCAAAGAGACCCUGCAAGUCCGGGGUCAGGACGCACCGUUUCACGGUUUCCACCUUUGUACGUGCAGCCCACUUACGUCCAAUUUUGCUUUUCCCAUUUCCCAAAACCAACGAGACUUACUACACAGUGGACCUACAAGGCAGUGAUAUUUUUGGCCACCUCUCCUCUCUUAUUUACUAUAUUUGAUUGCAGUAAAUUUUUUAAAAAGAUUUUAGAAGUAAAUUUACUAUAUUUGGUCACAGUAACUAUGUUAUAGUACAUAAUCAAAUACGUUUUCCUUAGAAACCACAACAGCCAACCAUCAGGUGACGCUAUCAUCAGAACACCCCCUUACAUUAGCAAUAAAAAGGGGUGCCCUUUGCAAGUUGUAUUUCCAGGAGGAAUUAGAGAUUUCCGCACACUUAUGGAGCUCCAGACUUAAUUCGCUACCCUAAAUAACUGAAACCCCGUAAGAUCAGCUAUACCUGCUAGAAAAUAUUCCAGCUGCGGAGUAGUUGUCACAACCCUGCUCCAGACAGGCUACCUAGCAAAACACCAGCUAGUCUCUGCAAAAUGUCGUCAUUCACCUCAUUUCCAUACCACAAGCCCUGCACUGUCCCAUUUUGGUAUUUCUAUAGUUCUCUUAAACAACAAAGAAAAAACAACACGUAUUUCAAACACCAUUUUGUCCUACAUAAGCCGAGAGUUUUAAAUUCCCUUUAACGAGCAUUUGCGAGCAGAGCAAGCCGAAAUAUCCAAACGAGUCCUCUUGAACGAGGAAAUGCUGACUCACCGAAACAAGAACGUUUCACAGGAACGCAGCACCCAACAGCUCCGCUGAGUUCAGUCUGACAAACGCUACCCUGUUCCCUGCCGGUCCAGCCACCAGUUUGGGCCAAACGAGGGCUUUUUGGUCAACGCCGUAGCUGACCCUACGUGUCUCGAGGCUCCUGCACCCCGGCGUGCCCGGAGCCCCCAGCUCCAGCUCCACCUGGCUUUGGGGAAAGCAUCAGCGUGCGGGCAUUUCCCCGUGGUGCCGGUACCAGGAGCCCACCUCUCCUCCCUGCAAGCGGUUUGCAGACUUUCCUCCAAGCGGAGGCUCUGAGCGCCUCCCUAGCUCAGCUGGCUCCUCCAUGCGACCCUGUAGUGAACGCAGAAAUGACGUUAAACCUACAGGUGGCAAGGAAUGCCAUCCAAAGUGAAGAUCAGUCGUGUAGGGGGCUCCUAGGCAGGAUUUAGGGCAGCCAUAGGAGCUCUCGAAUACAACACAGAAAGGCAGAGCUGCUUGUGGAUCUCUGAAGAUCUCCCCACUGCAGCGAGCAGCCCUUAUGGUUGUGCUCGAGCCCUGUUUUGUCCGUGCUGAGGCCGAAAUGGAUGAAAUUCCCACAGCCUCGGGUGCAAGGCGAGGCAGCAGGAGGGGAGAACCCAGCGCUGCGGGGCCACUUGCAGCCUGCACGUGGGACCAACUCCUCCCUGGUGUGAGCACUGCCAGCCAUCUCACCCCGGACCACGUCUAGUUUCCACAGCAGACAGGUCCAGUAGGACCACAGCUGCCACACGCCUCCAGCUCACCGCGGAGGAAGAAGCUCGACCCGUUCCCCGUCCGCUGGGGCGAUUAGCUGAGCUGGUGCUGCACCCCAUCGCCUGUUCAGCUGAACGACACUCGGUCAGGGCUCCUCGAGAAUCCGCUGGCCUGAAACUGCCCUCGAUCACCAGACCCAGUGCGUGUGUACUUGUCCAGUGUGCCAUCACGUCGGUACUUCAGCCAAGUUCCUUCUCCUGCAGAAGUAGCACCAGGAAAGCCAGCACGCCCACCCAGGAAGGGACUUCAUGUUUUAAGCUUCCCAAACUUUCUUACCCUCAUGUUAAGUAAGAGUCGGCUCACUCCCAGGCUUAACGGCAAGAGGCACCACUGUGAUUUCCUCAUCAAUAUUUCACGCCAAUUCCUGUCGUAGGAUGAUUAAGCUAUCACAUUUUGAUACCUAUCCUCUGUCUUUCCACGCGAGCUUAGAACUGGCAUUGUUCUGCCUGUUUACGGAGACCACGUCUGCAAGGGGACAGCAACAGCAGCAAAGGGCUCCCUCCUUCCUUCAGCCGAAAACCAAGCCAGACCUGAGUGCAGCGCCUCGGUGCCCACCUCGUGCAGGGAUCACACCGACCGUGGUGCGGAGGCGAACACGGGAAGCCCGGACAGCCCAGCAGCUCCUCAUGCCCCGGGCCAGCUCUACAGACCCGUGGCAGCUGUGCUAAAUACGCUCCGUUGCUGGAGACAUCCGCGGGGAUGUGGUUUCUAGACACCUUCCUACCAAGCUCUGCAAGCAGCCAAGGAGUGCUGGCUGAAAAAGCAGCUCCAAGUUUCUCCAAGGAUCUGCGAUCUCUCAGCUCGUCUCUCCAGGCAUCCUUUUCAGCUCACCAGCCUCUUCCUGCCCUUCUCCUAGGCCAGAUCCCCACCUCCUGGCCUCCUUAAACAAACCCUCCGGGAUGCACAAGUGCUUCCUCCACCCACAGCUACAGCAGGGCAGAGACCUUCCACCCCUCACAGCGCCCCAGCAGCUCAGCCCUCCGGCGAGGGAUCCCCAGGCAGGAUCCAAACCUCUCAUCUUCCUGUUCCGGAACAGCUUGGUUUUCUCUGGAUCUCAGGAGGUCUACCAGGGCUAAAACCAUGCCGCAGCAGAGCAGGCUGCCGCCUCCCGGCUGACAAACACCCAAUGCUCUUCUCAAGACCCCUAGAAGUGUUUCUGUCCCAUCUCUUACCUCUAGUCGUGGCUAAUUUCUAGACAACUCCUUUUUAUUCAACACCGACCUGCCACGAGAGCUCACCCAAUGACCUGAAGCAUACACCUGGAGAAACGCGUGGUCUUGGAAAGGCACAGACCUCCCACACUGCACACAGCAGAGAUAAAGAACCCACACCAAGAAGCCAAUUUACUUCUCAAUAAGUUACUGCAAAACCACUAAUAAUACCAUAAAUUUACUCUUUGACCGUGCGAACGGGACGUUCAGAAGAAAAUAUGAGCAUCGGAAUCCCCCUGCUCUUUAAGACAGACUCAAAUUCCCUUCCCCUCCAACAAAGUCUCUUCUGCCACGAAGCUGUACGCGUUCUGGAGUUCAUUUCAUGCACAUUUUCUGAAGGAGCACAGGAAUACCCCGCAGGUUGGUAUCUCUGCGAGUGAUACCAAGGAUUUGUAGGAUUGCAGCCGUGCUGUGGAGCUUCCCAGCAGUAACUCAGAGGCGUUCGCAGCAGACCAUCCUUCAGCAGGUCUCAAGAGAUCAACAUCUUAACUUUAGCUCUUAACAGUUAAAGGUCAACAAAAUCACCCACGAAAUCAGUCCUUUGGUUGACAAAGCUGGGUGAAUAAGGGUCUAAAACAAAACAUUUGAUGCAAAACUGACCUUAAACGUAUUAACACCGGCAUCCGAGGCUGUACACAAGCAAAUUGUUGAGUGGCUGGCAUACCUGAGAUGCCAAUGCAAACUUCGUAGUGUUUGACUAUUAAAAAAAAAAGGACAGGCUUGGAAAAAAACAGUCAAAUGGGAAAAGAUGAGCCUAAGGUGUCUCUCUUGCUUACACAGAGGUUUGACUGAACGCUGUUAAACGCUUAAAGGCCUCCCAGAACACACACGUGCUUGGCCAGGGAGACUCGAGGAGCUUUUCUUGCUGUUCUUUGCUGCUCGAGAGGUAUUCAGCAGUAAGAAACUACAGCUGCAAAGUCCUUGGCAAGCUUAAAUUAUUGUGGAAUCACAGGCUAGGAAUUAAGGAGUCCCAAACUCCCACUCCAGGUCAGACUUUUUCCAUCAGGCACAGCCGGUCACAGCCCCAGAGCCACACUCACCACAAAUACCUAAUUCUGCACCACACCGUUGUACACGGAGAUCAUCUGCCUCCAAUUUAGCUAAAAACUGACCCCAGUAUAAAGCAUGAAAACCCCUAAGCCUUGUAAGUCUCCUGGAAAGUAACCACAAAAAACUGGAGACUAACCAGUGCCUCCGACCCCUUAGGCUCGUAUAGGCUUCUAGUCACCGAGUCCCUUCGGAGAGCCCGUCCAAACGCCACCCCUAAAGGCACAUCGCUCUCUGUAGGACAUCUCUCGGCAAAACCUCACUGCCGUACAGGUUCUGUUCGCUUUCAGAAAUACCAUUUCCCAACCACUCGUGCAGUUCCCUGGCUGUUCACUAAACCAGGGCAACCAACUCAUGAAACGAGAGGAUUAAGUCCCACUUAAGGACAAUUUGGGAUAAAUCCACGCUGUUGGUACCAGCGAUGAUGACACAAGCAGCGCCACUUUGCCUACACCUAAGAGAUCACCGAGACCUUUUUUGGUCUUUUAUUAGAGGAUCAAGGAAGCACGUUUCACGAUCACCCUUCAGGAGCAUCGCCACCACCCCAUCCCCAGUACCAGCCUCUCCUCAAACCGCACCCUGAAGCGCAGACCCUGUCCCACCUGCGGUUAGCGGUGGUUCACUUCUCCGACUCUCCUGCUCCUGCAGCGCAAAGCUCCAGAGACAAAAAAAAAAAAAAACACAAACUUUCGCAACACUUGGCCUUUAAAUCUGCAGUCAAAAAUUAACAAGCCACAGAUUUGUGCAGGCUGUGGUCUCAAGACCUGCUAGGGUGUAUUUACAGUGACAGAAACUUAAGAGUUUCCAGGAGGAGAACUCUUUCAAAGAGUGCUUCGGGGAGGGGGCGCUUACAAGAUUCACUGGCUUUCCCCAGCUGGCUCUUCUAAUCUUCCUGAAACACUUGCUCAAAGUCUAGGACCAGAGCGCUGACAUCCGUAACGCAAACAACUCCGUCAUUUUACCAUCGAACGGUCCCAAAGCAGCUGGUGUUGGAGGGGUGUUCUUGUGGCUGAAUGUUUCCCCUCGCAGACCCACCCACACGCCCCCGCCCCACUUACACACGCGGUAAGGCAGCGACACGGCCGAGCACCCUGCAGAGCCGAGCUCCAAAGUCCAAACCUCUGGCCUGCUGCCCUUCCGAAAAGCUCCAGCGACGCGGAGAGCGUCCCCAAAGCAGCCGGGCCCGUUCUCAGCUGAGCGACGCGAUUCCUAACUGUCUGGAUGUGCCCGCGUUUCUCAGUCUCUGAACUCAAGGUCAUUGAAAAACAAAAAGCACCAUUUCACACCCUGCAAGUCUUUGCGGAUACGUGGUUCAUCCCGAAGGAAGAUCCCUCUUAGCCUCCCCUUUAGCAUCUAUAAAUGCCUUCAGUUGUCCAUGCACCACCGGGACCCGACUCAAUCACUCGGCGGGCUUCUUGAGACUCACAACUUACUUUCCCUGUCCCCUUUACCUUGACUUUCCAAGAGGUCGCGGGUCAAAUUAAAACAUACACAGACGGAUUUAUAACGAACCCUGGGAAACAAGAGGAAGCGACCUGGUUAGCAGGAGACACCCAGCAAAAAGGCGGCUCUGCUACAGCUGAAGGAGUUGCCAGGAGCAGCAGCAGUCGCUCCCCAGGACAGAUGGCUCCGCACGCAGAGCCAGCCAACACCAGAGGAAGGAGCUGCUUGCACCAGGACAGGCAGGACCCGAGACCCAGCACAAGCGGACAGCAGCAGCAGGGGAACUUUGAGAAGCCCACCCCGCAGCGCUCCGGGCUUCAUCCUCCAGCUGACGCGGCGGGGAGAAGGGGAAGAUGCGAGACCAGCACCAGACCCCCCCGGUGCCAGAGCCACUCGGCCCCAGGAAGGAGUUUAAUGGGGUCAGAGGAGCCGAGGCCGGUCUCCUGCCCAGCUGCCAUCCUCAUGGGGAUCUGAAGCUCCACGCAAAAAUCCAUCAGGCUUCAGAUGCCCUUGACAUGCCAAGCAGCUCAAGCCUUGUUACGCUCCCUCCCAGUGCAAGGGUGGUGCAAGUUCCAAGACUCUCAAGCGGGCGUCUCAGCUGGGCCAUAAAAAGCUGCAGGUCUGCCAGAGGACGAACGUCGGCAUUUCCUGCAGCUUUCCCCAAGCACCAUCACGCUGGAAGCUGAUGCCAUUUUAAAAGAGGAACGUCACUGAUCUAAACCAGCAAGCGUAACCUUCAAAGCUCUUGGGUUUUACCUUCCAUGUGCCUUGCCAAGAACCCACGUCUUUCCCACACCAAGUGCCCCCAAGGAUCAGGGACUGUGUCUUUAACAAAAGGCUCACUUGCCCCCAACUUUCACCUGUUAAAUCAGUUCAAAACUCGCGCCAGCUUUGAUGGCUCCAGUGACGCUCAGGAACACCGCAGCAGAGCCAAGAAAUCAGGGUGGCGGAGCCCAGGCGUGUGGUGCUGAGCAACCCCCCCGCCCCCCGCUACGCCCGGGGUUUUAUUAGAUCCUUAUCAGAUUUCCUGGUGACUAGGACGAAGGGCACGGAGCUACCAACAGGCGCAGAUGGGGUUACAGCAGCCCGUCGGCCUAGAAUAACAGCCAAUGCCCACCAGGCCCCUUCUAACCCCGCUGGAAGCUUUUUAAAUCCCACCGCCCCGUUCCCCUCUCCCAACAGCAAACACGGAGGAGGCAGGCGGCUGCUCCGCUCUCCCAGUGCCCUGCUGUCCCCAGCCCUGCAGUGUCACCCCACUGCACCCCUCCAGCAGCAGCACCCGCCCGGCCUGGGCCCAGAUCCCCCUUCCCUCCCUUCCUUUCACACCUUGCAUUAUGGCCCCUUUGACUCCUUGUGCCCACAUCGCCCCUGUGCACCCUUCCACGCAUUUUCACCCCCCUCCAUGUGCUCAGCCUGCCUCCACGCACCUCCCUUUGGCAUUGCACCACCUUGCACCGCACCUACCUCUGAGGCUU